AGUGAACGCUGGCGGUAGGCCUAACACAUGCCAGUCGAACGGCAGCACAGUAAGAGCUUGCUCUUACGGGUGGCGAGUGGCGGACGGGUGAGGAAUACAUCGGAAUCUACUUUUUCGUGGGGGAUAACGUAGGGAAACUUACGCUAAUACCGCAUACGACCUACGGGUGAAAGCAGUGGAUCUUCGGACCUUGCGCGAUUGAAUGAGCCGAUGUCGGAUUAGCUAGUUGGCGGGGUAAAGGCCCACCAAGGCGACGAUCCGUAGCUGGUCUGAGAGGAUGAUCAGCCACACUGGAACUGAGACACGGUCCAGACUCCUACGGGAGGCAGCAGUGGGGAAUAUUGGACAAUGGGCGAAAGCCUGAUCCAGCAAUACCGCGUGGGUGAAGAAGGCCUUCGGGUUGUAAAGCCCUGUUGUUGGGAAAGAAAAGCAGCAGGUUAAUACCCCGCUGUUCUGACGGUACCCAAAGAAUAAGCACCGGCUAACUUCGUG
rnacentral:rRNA from 1 species